CUUUAUAUUGAUAGUUCUACGUUGUUGUUACUGAAAAUGUGUCUUACUACAUUUCCCAUCUCCAACUCAAACUUUACUCGUCGGGGCUAUUCUUUUUAUCUUUUCUCCAAACAUGCCUCCACUUGCUUCUAUAUAAUUUCUAGACCUCAGGUGACUCAGGAUUGGAGUGCAAUUAUUCCCCCCGAGAGAAAUUAAAUAAUUAAAUAAAAUAAAAAAUUCAAGAUGAGAUUAGUGGCAAUAGAUCUAGCGUAAGAAUAAAUAAAGUGGUUUCCCAU